rnacentral:rRNA from 1 species
GUCCACGCCAUAAACGAUGACAACUAGAUGUUGGGAGGAUUAGCCUCUCGGUGUCGUAGCUAACGCGUUAAGUUGUCCGCCUGGGGAGUACGGCCGCAAGGUUGAAACUCAAAGGAAUUGACGGGGACCCCGCACAAGCGGUGGAGCAUGUGGUUUAAUUCGAUGCAACGCGAAGAACCUUACCUGGCCUUGACAUCUGUCGAAUCCUGCAGAGAUGUGGGAGUGCCUUCGGGAACGAUAAGACAGGUGCUGCAUGGCUGUCGU